rnacentral:lncRNA from 1 species
CAAGAGAUAAAGUUGAAGAUGCACUUGAAUCAUGUAAAAUGGCAGAUUCAAGAUGAAUAACAUGAAGAUGAGAAAGGUGUUGAUGAUGAGACUUUUACCAUUUGAAGCAGAUGAUAACAUUAUAAUAGGUAGGGUAGACUUUUACCAUUUGUUGGAUAUUUUUCGUACCCUACUUGAAUUUAUGCAAUAGUCAAAUGGG